UCUGCCAUCUCAUCCAACACA
rnacentral:piRNA from 1 species